rnacentral:antisense_RNA from 1 species
CUUGAUGGAGCCGAGCAGCAGCGGGCUGCCGUCCGCGGGGCGCUCCUGGCCGUAGGUCUCCAGCAGUGCCUGGGCCUC